rnacentral:rRNA from 1 species
GACGAACGCUGGCGGCGUGCUUAACACAUGCAAGUCGAACGGAAAGGCCCUGCUUUUGUGGGGUGCUCGAGUGGCGAACGGGUGAGUAACACGUGAGUAACCUGCCCUUGACUUUGGGAUAACUUCAGGAAACUGGGGCUAAUACCGGAUAGGAGCUCCUGCUGCAUGGUGGGGGUUGGAAAGUUUCGGCGGUUGGGGAUGGACUCGCGGCUUAUCAGCUUGUUGGUGGGGUAGUGGCUUACCAAGGCUUUGACGGGUAGCCGGCCUGAGAGGGUGACCCGCCACAUUGGGACUGAGAUACGGCCCAGACUCCUACGGGAGGCAGCAGUGGGGAAUAUUGCACAAUGGGCGGAAGCCUGAUGCAGCAACGCCGCGUGCGGGAUGACGGCCUUCGGGUUGUAAACCGCUUUCGCCUGUGGCGAAGCGUGAGUGACGGUAAUGGGUAAAGAAGCACCGGCUAACUACGUG